CCGCCGGCACCGAACUACAUUUCCCAGCGCCGCCCGCGGCGGUGGUUGCCAAGGCGCCCUGGCAACGGCGCCUGAAAUGGCGGCGGGGAAGGGACCGUAACGGCGCCGGCCUUCAGCUCCCAGCCUCGGGCGGGAGCCGCGCUGCCGGUCCCCCGUGAAAAAGAAUGUCCUUGUUUAAAGCUCGAGACUGGUGGUCCACAACGCUUGGAGAAAAGGAAGAAUUUGAUCAAGGUUGUCUGUGUGUUGCUGAUGUUGAUAACAGUGGCCAAGAUAAAAUUAUUGUGGGCAGUUAUAUGGGAUAUCUCCGAAUCUUUCAUCCACAUCCUGUGAAACCUGGGGAUGACAUGCAAGCUGAAGACUUGCUCUUGGAAGUGCAGUUACAAGAACCAAUACUGCAGGUGGAAGUGGGAAAAUUUGUUUCUGGUACUGAAGGACUUCAUCUGGCUGUGUUGCAUUGCCGAAAACUCUGUGUAUAUGCUGUUUCAGGAACUCAGGGGAAUGUGGAACAUGGGAACCAGUAUCAGAUUAAACUGAUGUAUGAACAUAAUCUUCAGAGAACUGCUUGCAAUAUGACUUAUGGACCAUUUGGUGGUGUAAAAGGUCGAGAUUUGAUAUGCAUACAGUCCAUGGAUGGGAUGCUAAUGUUAUUUGAACAGGAAAGCUACGCUUUUGGGCGUUUUUUACCUGGUUUUCUUCUGCCUGGUCCAUUGACUUACAGCUCUCGGACAGAUUCUUUCAUUACGGUGUCUUCCUGUCGACAGGUUGAGAGUUACAAAUAUCAAGUGCUGGUAUUUGCAACAGAUGCUGAGGCAAGACAAGAAACAGUACAGAAAAAACUUAGUUCUGGAAAAAGACUUGCGGUGGAUUGGGUUCUAAACAUUGGAGAGCAAGCACUGGAUAUAUGCAUUGUCUCCUUUAAUCAGGCAGUUUCCUCUGUUUUUGUGCUUGGUGAGAGAAACCUUUUCUGCCUUAAGGAUAAUGGACAACUUCGUUUCAUGAAAAAGCUUGAUUACAGUCCAAGUUGCUUCCUUCCUUAUUGUUCAGUGAAAGAAGGAACAAUAAACACUCUAGUUGGAAACCAUAGUAACGUGUUGAAUAUUUAUCAGGAUGUUACACUGAAAUGGGCUGCUCAACUUUCCCAUGUUCCUGUAUCAGUAAAAGUAGCAAACAUACAGAAUCUGAAGGGUGUUAUAGUUACUCUGAGUGAAAAUGGACAUCUGCAGUGUUCCUACCUUGGAACUGAUCCUUCAUUCUUCCAGGCUCCUAGAAUUGAGUCUAAAGAAGUAAACUAUGAAGAAUUCAAUGCUGAAAUGAAAGAGCUUCAGAAAAUUAUCAGGGAAGCUAUGAAAACACAAGAUAUUUUACCCCAGUCUGAAAAACGGAGAGAUCUAAUUGUCACUGCAGAAGUUUCACCAGAUUUGGAUGCAGAAUCUAAAGCCAUUGACAGUGAGGUAAAAGCAGAGGUAGUACCAUCAGUAACAGUAAAGGUAACAGUACAAAGCAGGGUGACUGCACAGAAACCAAACCUGUCAGUAUGUGUACAAGCUCCAUUAGCAGUGACCUGUGACCAGUUCGUCUUCAAUGAUUUAGAACCAGAUUCAUCUGAAACUGUGGUCCUGUCUGUCUUUUUGAAGGGGAAUUUUCCUCCAUCAGAACUAGAAGGAAAUUGUGUGGUUUCAUGUAGUGCACCAACAGAGCUCAAUCCUGAAGGAAUACCAAAAGUUGCCCAGUGUAAAUUCAAGCUGCCUUUGCGAUUAAUCUGCUUUCCAGCUCAACCUUCAAAAUCAGCGAAUCACAAGAUAACUAUUGAUACCAAUAAACCUCCCAUCAGUUUUCUCACCAUUUUUCCAGACUUUGCUGAUCCAUCUGAGGAUGACCAAGCUAAUGUUCUGGGUUUUCAGUUCCUAACGGGUUCAAAAAUCACUCUUCUUGCUUCAAAAACAUCACAACGAUAUAGGAUCCAGAGUGAUCAGUUAGAAGACCUUUGGCUAAUAACAAAAGAGCUCACUCUUCGACUGGAAGAACAUUUCAAAAAGCAAAAUUGCAAAGACUUUGCGUGUACCUUUUCAGGUUCAAUUCCCCUGCAAGAAUACUUUGAACUAAUUGAUCGACAUUUUGAGCUGCGCUUGAAUGCAGAAAAAUUCCGUGAGCUGUUAUCUGAGAGGGCUGUACAAUUUAGAGCUAUCGAGAGACGAUUGCUGACACGAUUCAAAGACAAAACUCCUGCUCCUCUUCAACAUCUGGACACCUUGCUAGAAGGAACAUUCAGAGAGGUAAUAGCUCUAGCAGAUGCAGCAGAAGAAAACCAAGCCAACAUGUUCCAGGCAUUCACAAAGUUGAAAAGUGCCACCCAUCUGGUGAUUAUGCUGAUCAGUCUGUGGCAGAAACUCAACGCUGACCAAAUUGCUAUUAUGGAAGCUGCAUUUUUGCCAUUAGCAGAAGAUACACAAGAGCUGGGUUGGGAAGAAACUGUGGAUUCUGCCAUUUCUUCCUUGCUAAGAACUUGCUUGUCCAAGAGCUCUAAGGAACAGGCACUGACUCUUGGUGGCCAGUUGAGCAUGCCCAAAGAUACCAGCAGACUUAAGAAGAAUAUCAGCCUGUUCUGUGAUAGACUGGCCAAAGGUGGUCGCCUUUCCUUAAGUACAGAAUCAGCCACUCAGCAAGUUGCUGCUGUGCCAGUGGGAGCAAAACUACACGUCUCUAGAAGAUUCUGAAGAACCUGGGUGUCCCAAAGCAGUUACUGUAGAGAAAACCCUGACGUACUGAAGUGGAUCUAUCAAGCGAUGAGAUUCUGGGAAGGUUUGACAAAGGUGAACACAUUUUGAAAACAGAAAACUGAACAUCAGACAAGGGAAGAGAAUGUGGAAGAAUGUCUGAAGUGGUCUUUAAUGUUCAUUAAUUUAGUCAAAUUUAAUCAUGCUGCUGGACUUGGAUUGUAGCUUUCUUAAAGUUGUUAAUUUUCAAGAAUUUCAAAAAAAUGGUAAAUCAUUGGAAUCAUUUUUUUUUAAAUUAUUUAUCUUAGAAUGUGAAAAGCAAAACAAGGUAGAAGGGUAUAAAGACACAUUUUUGCAUGCAGGGUUAUGAAAAGGUUUUUAUUAUGUAGUUGAGAAAAUCUCCCCUCCUCAAUUGAUAUUACAGCUGGCAAAAACCACAGAGUGGAGUGCAAAGGUUAAGAAGGCUAAAGCAAUAACAUUUAAAAAAAAAUGAAUAAUUUAAAUAGGAAAAUGUCAUGCAUAAUGAAUAAAAAGAAAUCCUGCUUGAGAUUUGGGAUUCAUUCAUUUGUUAUACUAUGAAAUUUAGUUGGCAAUGUUGCAAUUCCAGCUUGCCUCAUCUAAGUACAGUUCAGAUCAACGCAUUAGUGCCUUGGUGCAUAUAGUCCUAUUGCUGACUCUUUGCCUUGAAAUCCAUUAAAUUUUAAUUCAUUCUACUUAACUCUAACUGGUCACAGAAGAUUCAUAAUUUUGAGGUAAGCUUUUGGUGAAAAUAAUUGUGAGUUGAAAGAAUUUUCCCUAAUGAUCAUGUUUGUCAUUGUGCUCUAUAUUCUGUAUUCUUUGUCCCUUAAAGACCAUAAGCAGAAAUAAACUUCUAAAAUCUGCA